UGGGGAAUUUUGGACAAUGGGCGAAAGCCUGAUCCAGCAAUGCCGCGUGUGUGAAGAAGGCCUUCGGGUUGUAAAGCACUUUUGUCCGGAAAGAAAUCCUUGGCUCUAAUACAGUCGGGGGAUGACGGUACCGGAAGAAUAAGCACCGGCUAACUACGUGCCAGCAGCCGCGGUAAUACGUAGGGUGCAAGCGUUAAUCGGAAUUACUGGGCGUAAAGCGUGCGCAGGCGGUUUGCUAAGACCGAUGUGAAAUCCCCGGGCUCAACCUGGGAACUGCAUUGGUGACUGGCAGGCUAGAGUAUGGCAGAGGGGGGUAGAAUUCCACGUGUAGCAGUGAAAUGCGUAGAGAUGUGGAGGAAUACCGAUGGCGAAGGCAGCCCCCUGGGCCAAUACUGACGCUCAUGCACGAAAGCGUGGGGAGCAAACAGGAUUAGAUACCCUAGUAGUCCACGCCCUAAACGAUGUCAACUAGUUGUUGGGGAUUCAUUUCCUUAGUAACGUAGCUAACGCGUGAAGUUGACCGCCUGGGGAGUACGGUCGCAAGAUU
rnacentral:rRNA from 1 species